rnacentral:tRNA from 1 species
AAUGAAAUGCCUGAUUAAAGGAUUAUCGUGAUAGGAUAAAUUAUGUAAUACAAGUAUUAUUUUCAUUA